AUUGAACGCUAGCGGGAUGCCUUACACAUGCAAGUCGAACGAGCGGCGGACGGGUGAGUAAUAUAUCGGAAUGUGCCCAGUAGAGGGGGAUAACUACUCGAAACAGUGGCUAAUACCGCAUACUAUCGGAUGGGCCGAUAUCGGAUUAGCUAGUAGGUGGGGUAACGGCUCACCAAGGCAACGAUGCGUAGCCGGUUUGAGAGGAUGACCGGCCACACUGGGACUGAGACACGGCCCAGACUCCUACGGGAGGCAGCAGUAGGGAAUUUUCGGCAAUGGGCGAAAGCCUGAUCCAGCCAUCCCGCGUGAAUGAGAAGGUCUUCGGAUUGUAAAAUUCUUUUGUCAGAGAAGCGGUAUCUACCGAAAAAGCCCCGGCUAACUACGUGCCAGCAGCCGCGGUAAUUC
rnacentral:rRNA from 1 species